rnacentral:rRNA from 1 species
GAUGAACGCUGGCGGCGUGCCUAAUACAUGCAAGUCGAGCGAACGGACGAGAAGCUUGCUUCUCUGAUGUUAGCGGCGGACGGGUGAGUAACACGUGGAUAACCUACCUAUAAGACUGGGAUAACUUCGGGAAACCGGAGCUAAUACCGGAUAAUAUUUUGAACCGCAUGGUUCAAAAGUGAAAGACGGUCUUGCUGUCACUUAUAGAUGGAUCCGCGCUGCAUUAGCUAGUUGGUAAGGUAACGGCUUACCAAGGCAACGAUGCAUAGCCGACCUGAGAGGGUGAUCGGCCACACUGGAACUGAGACACGGUCCAGACUCCUACGGGAGGCAGCAGUAGGGAAUCUUCCGCAAUGGGCGAAAGCCUGACGGAGCAACGCCGCGUGAGUGAUGAAGGUCUUCGGAUCGUAAAACUCUGUUAUUAGGGAAGAACAUAUGUGUAAGUAACUGUGCACAUCUUGACGGUACCUAAUCAGAAAGCCACGGCUAACUACGUGCCAGCAGCCGCGGUAAUACGUAGGUGGCAAGCGUUAUCCGGAAUUAUUGGGCGUAAAGCGCGCGUAGGCGGUUUUUUAAGUCUGAUGUGAAAGCCCACGGCUCAACCGUGGAGGGUCAUUGGAAACUGGAAAACUUGAGUGCAGAAGAGGAAAGUGGAAUUCCAUGUGUAGCGGUGAAAUGCGCAGAGAUAUGGAGGAACACCAGUGGCGAAGGCGACUUUCUGGUCUGUAACUGACGCUGAUGUGCGAAAGCGUGGGGAUCAAACAGGAUUAGAUACCCUGGUAGUCCACGCCGUAAACGAUGAGUGCUAAGUGUUAGGGGGUUUCCGCCCCUUAGUGCUGCAGCUAACGCAUUAAGCACUCCGCCUGGGGAGUACGACCGCAAGGUUGAAACUCAAAGGAAUUGACGGGGACCCGCACAAGCGGUGGAGCAUGUGGUUUAAUUCGAAGCAACGCGAAGAACCUUACCAAAUCUUGACAUCCUCUGACCUCUCUAGAGAUAGAGCCUUCCCCUUCGGGGGACAAAGUGACAGGUGGUGCAUGGUUGUCGUCAGCUCGUGUCGUGAGAUGUUGGGUUAAGUCCCGCAACGAGCGCAACCCUUAAGCUUAGUUGCCAUCAUUAAGUUGGGCACUCUAAGUUGACUGCCGGUGACAAACCGGAGGAAGGUGGGGAUGACGUCAAAUCAUCAUGCCCCUUAUGAUUUGGGCUACACACGUGCUACAAUGGACAAUACAAAGGGCAGCGAAACCGCGAGGUCAAGCAAAUCCCAUAAAGUUGUUCUCAGUUCGGAUUGUAGUCUGCAACUCGACUACAUGAAGCUGGAAUCGCUAGUAAUCGUAGAUCAGCAUGCUACGGUGAAUACGUUCCCGGGUCU